GAUGAACGCUAGCGGCAGGCUUAACACAUGCAAGUCGAGGGGUAUAGUUUUUCGGAACUAGAGACCGGCGCACGGGUGCGUAACGCGUAUGCAAUCUCCCUUUCACAGAGGGAUAGCCCAGAGAAAUUUGGAUUAAUACCUCAUAGUAUUAUGAAGUGGCAUCAUUUUAUAAUUAAAGUUCCAACGGUGAAAGAUGAGCAUGCGUCCCAUUAGCUAGAUGGUAAGGUAACGGCUUACCAUGGCGACGAUGGGUAGGGGUCCUGAGAGGGAGAUCCCCCACACUGGUACUGAGACACGGACCAGACUCCUACGGGAGGCAGCAGUGAGGAAUAUUGGUCAAUGGACGCAAGUCUGAACCAGCCAUGCCGCGUGCAGGAUGACGGUCCUAUGGAUUGUAAACUGCUUUUGUACGAGAAGAAACAUCCCGACGUGUCGGGACUUGACGGUAUCGUAAGAAUAAGGAUCGGCUAACUCCGUGCCAGCCGCCGCGGUAACAC
rnacentral:rRNA from 1 species